AUUGAACGCUGGCGGCAUGCUUUACACAUGCCAGUCGAACGGUAACCGGCCGCAAGGUGCUGACGAGUGGCGAACGUGUGAGUAAUGCAUCGGAACGUGCCCAGUCGUGGGGGAUAACUACUCGAAAGAGUAGCUAAUACCGCAUACGAUCUAUGGAUGAAAGCGGUGGUCAGUAAGGCCUCGCGCGAUUGGAGCGGCCGAUGCCAGAUUAUGUUGGUGGGGGGGUAAAGGCUCACCAAGCCAACGAUCUGUAGCUGGUCUGAGAGGACGACCAGCCACACUGGAACUGAGACACGGCCCAGACUACUACGGGAGGCAGCAGUGGGGAAUGUUGGACAAUGGGCGCAAGCCUGAUCCAGCAAUGCCGCGUGCAGGAAGAAGGCCUUCGGGUUUUAAACUGCUUUUGUACGGGACGAAACGGCUCUGGUUAAUACCCGGGGCUAAUGACGGUACCGUAAGAAUAAGCACCGGCUAACUACGUG
rnacentral:rRNA from 1 species